AUUGAAUUAUUCAUUAGACUGAGAGAAUAAAUAAAAAAGGUGGGUAUAAGAGGGUGGGGUGGGGGAGAGAGAAGAGUGUUGCUGUUAUAUUGGGGAGAGAGGAAGUUGUCAGAAAGUGCUUUUUAUUUAUAGGUUUAUUACAGCUUGCAUUUGUCUCUGUGAGCAGCAUACAAUUUUCUCUAUUGGCCACCAUAACUCAGGAUAGAAAGAAGAGCUGUAAAUACUAGAAAUUUGGGGUUUUCUGGGACUAUGGUCUCCUAUUUUUAACUUGCAUUUUAACAUGGAGGUAAAACAUUCCUUUGACAAUGUACAGAUAUUAAAUAAAGAUCAGGGGGAUACAGCAAGCAGAAAUUAUUCAAGUACUAGAGGAAAAAAAUUGCUCCAGGCUACUCUUUCACACAUUGUUGCUCAAGUCAGGAUUAUGAUAUGACAGUUCUAACUCUGCUGCUGACAUUCGAAUAGACUAUUACAUUAUUUACUUUUUGUAAAAUAACAUUCUAUUACAGCUCCCUAAAGGCCCACUGCUGUUCUUAGUUUAAGGGGAAAGAUUCUCUUUGCCCAUGAUUCCGAGCUUCCAAUUUGCUAAUACAGCUCUGGUGGAGACCACUAAUCGGGUCCUUCCUUAAAGAGGGCACAUACUGGACAACCGACACCCUGUGUUGUGGGUGGGAACAUCUGGUAAGCC